GGUUGUCGUACAUACAAUGCAGAACUGGUAGUUAGGUUGGGAGUUGCUGUAUCUGGUGUGAAGCUGGUAGUUGGGUUGGGAGUUGUCGUAUCUGGUGAUAAACUGGUAUUUGGCUCGGGAUUUGUGUUAUCUGAUGCGAAACUGGAAGUUGAAUUGGGAGUUGUUGUAUAUGACGCAAAACUGGUAGUUAGGUUGGGAGUUGUCGUAUCUGGUGAUAAACUGGUAGUUGGCUCGGGAUUUGUGUUAUCUGAUGCGAAACUGGAAGUUGAAUCAGGGGUUGCUUUAUCUGGUGUAAAGCUGGUAGUUGGGUUGGGAUUUGUCGUAUCUAAUGUGAAACCAGUAGUUAACACGGAAGUUGACAUACCUGCCACGAAACUGGUAGUUAAGUUGGGAGUUGCUUUAUCUGGUGUGAAGCUGGUAGUUGGGUUGGGAGUUGUCGUAUCUGGUGAUAAACUGGUAGUUGGGUUAGGACUUGCCAUAUCUGAUGAUAAAUGGGUGGUUGGGUUGGGAGUUGUCGUAUCUGGUGAUGCACUGGUAGUUGGCUCGGGAGUUGCAUUAUCUGAUGCGAAACUGGAAGUUGAAUCAGGAGUUGUCAUAUAUGGUGCAAAACUGGUAGUUCGCUCAGGAAUUGUUUUAUCUUGCACAAAACUGGUAGUUGGGUUGGGAGUUGUUGCUUUUGGUGCUAAACUGAUAGUUGGCUUAGGAGUUGUUUUAUCUGAUGCUAAACUGGUAGAUGGGUCGGGAUUUGUCGUAUCUAAUGCAAAACUAGUAGUUAACACGGGAGUUGACAUACCUGCCGCAAAACUGGUAGUUAAGUUGGGGGUUGUUUUGUCUGGUGUGAAACUGUUAGUUGGGUUGGGAGAAGCCGUAUAUGAUGCAAAACUGGUAGUUGGAUUGUGAGAUGUAGUGUGUGACAGUGGUGUAAUGGUGGUUGAUCUUCCAUCAACACAGGUCACGCACAUCCAUUUGCCAUCUUUAAAAUGCAGAACAUAUCUGCUUCCUUCUUUCCCUUCAACAAAGAAAUAAACAAUGGAUGCAUUUUAUUGCAGUUGUGCAAUAUCUGAAACUAUUAUAUUUGGUAUGUUACAUGACAUAUAUAUGAUAUGUUGGUUAUUUGUCAACCAAGCAACACUGUAAUUUCAACAUUAUAGAUGCAUUUUCAUCAGUUCACACAUUUAUUAUUGAUAGAGUCCAAUCAUAUUAUUGCCAUAAUUUAAAACAAUAAACAGUGUCAACUUAUGGUGAAUGAAUU
rnacentral:lncRNA from 1 species